AACGAACGCUGGCGGCAGGCCUAACACAUGCAAGUCGAGCGCACCCCUUCGGGGGCGAGCGGCGGACGGGUUAAUAACGCGUGGGAAUAUACCCAGUUCUAAGGAAUAGCCUCUGGAAACGGAGAGUAAUACCUUAUACGCCCUUCGGGGGAAAGAUUUAUCGGAAUUGGAUUAGCCCGCGUUAGAUUAGAUAGUUGGUGGGGUAACGGCCUACCAAGUCGACGAUCUAUAGCUGGUUUGAGAGGAUGAUCAGCAACACUGGGACUGAGACACGGCCCAGACUCCUACGGGAGGCAGCAGUGGGGAAUCUUGGACAAUGGGCGCAAGCCUGAUCCAGCCAUACCGCGUGAGUGAUGAAGGCCUUAGGGUCGUAAAGCUCUUUCGCCAGGGAUGAUAAUGACAGUACCUGGUAAAGAAACCCCGGCUAACUCCGUGCCAGCAGCCGCGGUAAUACGGAGGGGGUUAGCGUUGUUCGGAAUUACUGGGCGUAAAGCGUGCGUAGGCGGGCUAGUCAGUCAGAGGUGAAAUCCCAGGGCUCAACCCUGGAACUGCCUUUGAUACUGCUAGUCUUGAGUUCGAGAGAGGUGAGUGGAAUUCCAAGUGUAGAGGUGAAAUUCGUAGAUAUUUGGAGGAACACCAGUGGCGAAGGCGGCUCACUGGCUCGAUACUGACGCUGAGGUACGAAAGUGUGGGGAGCAAACAGGAUUAGAUACCCUGGUAGUCCACACCGUAAACGAUGAAUGCCAGACGUCGGGUAGCAUGCUAUUCGGUGUCACACCUAACGGAUUAAGCAUUCCGCCUGGGGAGUACGGUCGCAAGAUUAAAACUCAAAGGAAUUGACGG
rnacentral:rRNA from 1 species